UAUUACUUUUACCUAUUGUUAAUUUAUUUAACAGAAUUUUAUCAAGCGGAAAAUUUCCAGAUGCUUGGAAUUUAUCUUGUACUUCCUUCUUACACAAAAAUGGUGACAUAAACAUAUGCGAUAAUUAUAGAUGUAUUAGCCUUACCAGCUGUCUUGGCAAGCUUUUCACCUCAUUAUUACAGAAAAGACUGCAUAAAUAUAUGGAAGAAAAUAAUCUUUAUAAUCCCUUUCAAGCAGGAUUCAGACCAG
rnacentral:lncRNA from 1 species